AUUGAACGCUGGCGGCAUGCCUAACACAUGCAAGUCGAGCGGAGCGGCGGACGGGUGAGUACUGCCUAGGAAUCUGCCUGUUAGUGGGGGAUACCGUCCGGAAACGGGCGCUAAUACCGCAUACUAUCAGAUGAGCCUAGGUCGUAUUAGCUAGUUGGUGGGGUAAAGGCCUACCAAGGCGACGAUCCGUAACUGGUCUCAGAGGAUGAUCAGUCACACUGGAACUGAGAAACGGCCCAGACUCCGACGGGAGGCAGCAGUGGGGAAUCGUGGACAAUGGGCGAAAGCCUGACCGAGCAAUGCCGCGUGUGUGAAGAAGGUUUUCGGAUUGUAAAGCACUUUUAGUUGGGAGGCGGUACCAACAGAAUAAGCAACGGCUAACUACGUGCCAGCAGCCGCGGUAAUAC
rnacentral:rRNA from 1 species